rnacentral:rRNA from 1 species
UACAGAGGUGGCAAGCGUUGUUCGGAAUUACUGGGCGUAAAGGGCGCGUAGGCGGCCUUCUAAGUCAGACGUGAAAUCCCCGAGCUCAACUCGGGAACUGCGUCCGAUACUGGCGGGCUUGAAUCCGGGAGAGGGAUGCGGAAUUCCAGGUGUAGCGGUGAAAUGCGUAGAUAUCUGGAGGAACACCUGCGGCGAAGGCGGGUUGCUGGGCCGACACUGACGCUGAAGCGCGAAAGCCAGGGGAGCGAACGGG